rnacentral:lncRNA from 1 species
UUUCUCUAAUAUUCUCUCAGAAAUACCUUUUACCUGGCUGGACACAGCACUAGCACCGUCAUAUCCCUGGCCUCGACAAUUUUGAAGGGAAGCCCGACAUCUUGAAGUGUACUUUGACUAAUGAACGGAAUCAAAUCCAAAGGCGAAACAGUUCGGUAUACAAAUGAAAAUGUUCUUGAAUCAUGUAAAACUUCAAAUUUAUUCAAGAAUGUAUUAAAUUAUCCAGAAAGUAUAAGCUUGGAGUUAUCAUUAAAAAGUGCCUUGCACCAGAUAUUUUCAAUAAUUAGCUAUCGAGACCAUCCUCAGUUGU